rnacentral:rRNA from 1 species
UACGAAGGGGGCUAGCGUUGUUCGGAAUUACUGGGCGUAAAGCGCACGUAGGCGGGUCGUUAAGUCAGGGGUGAAAUCCCAGAGCUCAACUCUGGAACUGCCUUUGAUACUGGGUAUCUUGAGUAUGGAAGAGGUAAGUGGAAUUGCGAGUGUAGAGGUGAAAUUCGUAGAUAUUCGCAGGAACACCAGUGGCGAAGGCGGCUCACUGGACCGGUAUUGACGCUGAGGUGCGAAAGCGUGGGGAGCAAACAGG